GUUGAAAUUGGGGUAGUGGUAACCUGGGUCGUUGCCAUUCAUAUAUUCAUCAAUUGUCGACCCGCCCGGAGUUCGAUUCUCCGUUAACG